rnacentral:snRNA from 1 species
GUGCUCGCUUCGGCAGCACAUAUACUAAAAAUUAGAAUGAUACAGAGAAGAUUAGCAUGGCCCCUGCACAAGGAUGACACGCAAAUUUGUGAAGCGUUCCAUAUUUUU